ACGGACUAUUUCCCGUAAUUACUUACAUUUCGCGGAUCUCGUAUACGCGAUCGUUACACUGACAAAUAUGCAUGGCCAUUAAUUAUAUACAAUAAAUAGUUUUAUUCCAUAAUAACAAUAUUUCAAUAAGCACACCCGGAAUUAAAUCCCGUAUUUCAGAAAUAACUUCUUUGUUGUGAAAAGAACGACAACUCUUGCACUAAACAUGGAACUACGGUUUGGCGGAAAAUGUGUCAACACAGUAAACUCUACAAAAAACGUUGAUUAAUAAAUUAAACAAGACUAAAAUGUGCUUUACCAGGUCUGUCAUACCUUUACACAAAUUGGGCAAACAGAAAUAAUACUUAAGGGAUGAAAUUUCAUGAGAAAUCAUUAUUAAAUAUCGAGGUUUAACCAAAUACCAUUUCAGUUUCACAACACUACCCCCUUGAAGAAUACAUUUCGUCCCCGAAAUUCUAUAACUCAAUUAACAAAAAAUAGAAUAGUAUGCUUAUUGAACAUAAUAAUAUCAAUAAAAAACAAC
rnacentral:lncRNA from 1 species